UUGAGUGGUUAAGCAAUUGUUUCAUAAUCCUUUUGUCAUGGGUUCGACCCUUUGUAUAAUUCACUUUCUUUUUGUUUCAAUGUUGUUACCAUUUUAUUUCCUAUUUUUUUUAUUAUUUUAUUAUUUUAUUUUUUAGGUUUAGUUCAUUUCUUUCCGAUACUUGUCUUUGAUUCAUUUUUAUUGAUUUAAAACUUCAAAUUUUAAUUUAUAGAUUCGACAAUUUCCAUGUCGUUUAUCCAUGAUUAAAAAUUUCGAUACAUUAAUGGACAUUUUCGCCGCGUUAUGACCCUUUC
rnacentral:lncRNA from 1 species